rnacentral:rRNA from 1 species
ACGUAGGGUGCGAGCGUUAAUCGGAAUUACUGGGCGUAAAGCGUGCGCAGGCGGUUUUGUAAGACAGGCGUGAAAUCCCCGGGCUCAACCUGGGAACUGCGUUUGUGACUGCAAGGCUAGAGUACGGCAGAGGGGGGUGGAAUUCCAGGUGUAGGAGUGAAAUGCGGAGAGAUGUGGAGGAACACCAAUGGCGAAGGCGUCCCCCUGGGUCGAUUCUGACGCUCAUGCACGAAAGCGUGGGUAGCAAACAG